UACGUAGGGUGCAAGCGUUGUCCGGAAUUAUUGGGCGUAAAGAGCUCGUAGGCGGUUUGUCGCGUCUGCUGUGAAAACUCAGGGCUUAACCCUGAGCCUGCUCCGAUACGGGCAGGACUAGAGGUAUGCAGGGGAGAACGAAUCCUGGUGUAGCGGUGGAAUGCGCAGAUAUCAGGAGGAACACCGGUGGCGAAGGCGGUU
rnacentral:rRNA from 1 species